rnacentral:rRNA from 1 species
UGAGCUGUGAUGGGGAAGCUCCUUAUGGAGCGAAGUCUUUGAUUCCCCGCUGCCAAGAAAAGCUUCUAGCGAGAUAAAAGGUGCCUGUACCGCAAACCGACACAGGUAGGCGAGGAGAGAAUCCUAAGGUGUGCGAGAGAACUCUGGUUAAGGAACUCGGCAAAAUGACCCCGUAACUUCGGGAGAAGGGGUGCUUUCUUAACGGAAAGCCGCAGUGAAUAGGCCCAAGCGACUGUUUAGCAAAAACACAGCUCUCUGCGAAGCCGUAAGGCGAAGUAUAGGGGGUGACACCUGCCCGGUGCUGGAAGGUUAAGGAGAGGGGUUAGCGUAAGCGAAGCUCUGAACUGAAGCCCCAGUAAACGGCGGCCGUAACUAUAACGGUCCUAAGGUAGCGAAAUUCCUUGUCGGGUAAGUUCCGACCCGCACGAAAGGUGUAACGAUUUGGGCACUGUCUCAACCAGAGACUCGGUGAAAUUAUAGUACCUGUGAAGAUGCAGGUUACCCGCGACAGGACGGAAAGACCCCGUGGAGCUUUACUGUAGCCUGAUAUUGAAUUUUGGUACAGUUUGUACAGGAUAGGCGGGAGCCUUUGAAACCGGAGCGCUAGCUUCGGUGGAGGCGCUGGUGGGAUACCGCCCUGACUGUAUUGAAAUUCUAACCUACGGGUCUUAUCGACCCGGGAGACAGUGUCAGGUGGGCAGUUUGACUGGGGCGGUCGCCUCCUAAAGUGUAACGGAGGCGCCCAAAGGUUCCCUCAGAAUGGUUGGAAAUCAUUCGUAGAGUGCAAAGGCAUAAGGGAGCUUGACUGCGAGACCUACAAGUCGAGCAGGGACGAAAGUCGGGCUUAGUGAUCCGGUGGUUCCGCAUGGAAGGGCCAUCGCUCAACGGAUAAAAGCUACCCCGGGGAUAACAGGCUUAUCUCCCCCAAGAGUCCACAUCGACGGGGAGGUUUGGCACCUCGAUGUCGGCUCAUCGCAUCCUGGGGCUGUAGUCGGUCCCAAGGGUUGGGCUGUUCGCCCAUUAAAGCGGUACGCGAGCUGGGUUCAGAACGUCGUGAGACAGUUCGGUCCCUAUCCGUCGUGGGCGUAGGAAAUUUGAGAGGAGCUGUCCUUAGUACGAGAGGACCGGGAUGGACGCACCGCUGGUGUACCAGUUGUUCUGCCAAGGGCAUAGCUGGGUAGCUAUGUGCGGAAGGGAUAAGUGCUGAAAGCAUCUAAGCAUGAAGCCCCCCUCAAGAUGAGAUUUCCCAUAGCGUAAGCUAGUAAGAUCCCUGAAAGAUGAUCAGGUUGAUAGGUUCGAGGUGGAAGCAUGGUGACAUGUGGAGCUGACGAAUACUAAUAGAUCGAGGACUUAACCAU